CCCCUGGCGCCGGCGCUGGGAAUCCCCGUGCGGUCAGUGGCGUUUCCGCUCGGGCAGCGGGCUGAGUGAGCUGCCGCCGCCGCCGCCGCCGCCGCCGCUGGGGGAGGGGCGGCCGCCGCCCGCCUGCGCUCAGAGACUCACGCAGCCCCAGUCCCGCCAGUCCGCCAACACAGUAGUGCCGGCCCCCCUCCCUCCCUGGCCCUUCCCCCUCCCCGCCUUUGGCUCGCUCCGCCUUUUUGCCCCCCACCCCCACCUCACGGGUACGGGCCAUUCCCGGCCAGGAAACGCCGUGGCGCCGCGUUGGGCCUAACUCGAGUCUUGCUGCCUCCCGGGAGUGCCGUGCGCCGCAGCCCGGGCCCAGGCCCCGGCAGCGCCUGGGACAAGGUCUUCAGAGCUACUGGCAGAUAAUUUUGGGGGACUUCAUAUUCAGAGGUCUAUAUAAAGGAUUCCUCAUGUCCAUAACAUGUUGGCUGAGGCUCUGGAGCUCACCCCCACUCUCAGAGUGGUCAGUCUCCAUUAAUUGGAUCCCUUGA
rnacentral:lncRNA from 1 species